GGCAUUGUAGCUCAAUUGGUAGAGCGUGCGCUGUACAAAAACGUAGGCGGAAUCCAUGAGCGGGUACGAAUCCCACCAAGGCUA
rnacentral:tRNA from 1 species